rnacentral:rRNA from 1 species
UACGAAGGGGGCUAGCGUUGCUCGGAAUCACUGGGCGUAAAGCGCACGUAGGCGACUUUUUAAGUCAGGGGUGAAAUCCUGGAGCUCAACUCCAGAACUGCCUUUGAUACUGAGAAGCUUGAGUCCGGGAGAGGUGAGUGGAACUGCGAGUGUAGAGGUGAAAUUCGUAGAUAUUCGCAAGAACACCAGUGGCGAAGGCGGCUCACUGGCCCGGUACUGACGCUGAGGUGCGAAAGCGUGGGGAGCAAACAGG